rnacentral:rRNA from 1 species
GGGGUGCUCGAGUGGCGAACGGGUGAGUAACACGUGAGUAACCUGCCCUUGACUUUGGGAUAACUUCAGGAAACUGGGGCUAAUACCGGAUAGGAGCUCCUGCUGCAUGGUGGGGGUUGGAAAGUUUCGGCGGUUGGGGAUGGACUCGCGGCUUAUCAGCUUGUUGGUGGGGUAGUGGCUUACCAAGGCUUUGACGGGUAGCCGGCCUGAGAGGUGACCGGCCACAUUGGGACUGAGAUACGGCCCAG